rnacentral:rRNA from 1 species
UACGAAGGGGGCUAGCGUUGCUCGGAAUCACUGGGCGUAAAGCGCACGUAGGCGGCUUCUUAAGUCAGGGGGUGAAAUCCUGGAGCUCAACUCCAGAACUGCCUUUGAUACUGAGGAGCUUGAGUCCGGGAGAGGUGAGUGGAACUGCGAGUGUAGAGGUGAAAUUCGUAGAUAUUCGCAAGAACACCAGUGGCGAAGGCGGCUCACUGGCCCGGUACUGACGCUGAGGUGCGAAAGCGUGGGGAGCAAACAGGG